GCCAGGCGCAAUGGCACACGCCUGUAAUCCCAGCCUCAGGAGGCUGAAGCAGGAGGAUUGCGAGUUCAAAGUCAGCCUCAGCCAUUUAGGGAGGCCCUAAGCAACUCAGCAAGACCCUGUCUCAA
rnacentral:sRNA from 1 species